rnacentral:rRNA from 1 species
GACGAACGCUGGCGGCGUGCUUAACACAUGCAAGUCGAACGGAGCGCUUUGGAAAGAGACUUCGGUCAAUUGAAGGAGUUGCUUAGUGGCGGACUGGUGAGUAACGCGUGAGGAACCUGCCUUUCAGAGGGGGACAACAGUUGGAAACGACUGCUAAUACCGCAUGAUGCAUGAUCGGGGCAUCCCGGACAUGCCAAAGAUUUAUCGCUGAAAGAUGGCCUCGCGUCUGAUUAGCUAGUUGGUAGGGUAACGGCCUACCAAGGCGACGAUCAGUAGCCGGACUGAGAGGUUGACCGGCCACAUUGGGACUGAGAUACGGCCCAGACUCCUACGGGAGGCAGCAGUGGGGAAUAUUGGGCAAUGGACGCAAGUCUGACCCAGCAACGCCGCGUGAAGGAAGAAAGGCUUUCGGAUCGUAAACUUCUAUCAACAGGGAAGAAACAAAUGACGGUACCUGAAUAAGAAGCCCGGCUAACUACGUAG